rnacentral:tRNA from 1 species
GGCCGGUUAGCUCAGUUGGUUAGAGCGUGGUGCUAAUAACGCCAAGGUCACGGGUUCAACCCUCGUACGGGCCA